CCACGGUUAAGGCUCUGACCCACAAACUAGCGAACGAGUUGUACAAGAAGGCGGUGGACUCGGCGAAUUGGUCACUCAGGAGCCAAGAAUCGAACAACCGUGGAUGUGGUGGUGGUGACGUCAGCAGAUACGACGAGGACGCCAUUUGAGCACGCUCUUGACUUCUUGCUACACGAUUUUGAGAUGGCAGUUGUAGAUGAAAGAGGGUACGAGCAUUUGUUAUACAAAAUGGCUGAAGAGUUUCUUUUUACAUCUGAGGGCAAAAUCUUGGAUAGUCGAUUCCAAAUAAACAAGGUAGUUCGGGAGUUACAGCACUCGAGAAACGGCAUGACGGUAACAACGGAGGAUGGUUGCAUCUACGAAGCCAAUUACUUGAUUCUUUCUGUCAGCAUCGGUGUUCUACAAAGCGACCUCAUUUCCUUCAGACCCUUCUUGCCCAGGUGGAAAAUGGAGGCCAUUCAGACAUGUGAAGUGAUGGUGUAGGCAAAGAUCUUCUUAAAAUUUCCACAUAAGUUCUGGCCUUGUGGACCUGGAAAAGAGUUCUUCAUGUAUGCUCACAAGAGGAGGGGAUACUACACGUUCUGGCAGCACAUGGAGAAUGCAUUCCCUGGUUCAAAUAUCCUGGUUGUAACAUUGACGAAUGGGGAAUCAAAACGUGUAGAAGCCCAGUCAGAUGAAGAAACAUUGAAAGAAGCUAUGGGGGUUCUUAGAAACAUGUUUGGACCAACAUACCCAAUGCCACUGAUAUUCUAGUGCCUCGUUGGUAUUAUAACGGGUUCCAAUGUGGCAGCUACAGCAACUAUCCAAUCAUCUCUAAUAAUCAACUUGUUCACAAUAUUUAGGCCCCAGUGGGAUGCAUCUUCUUUACUGGUGAACACACAAGUGAACAAUUUAGUGGUUAUGUCCAUGGUGGAUACUUAGCAGGUAUCGACAUUAGUAAAGCUUUGUUAGAUGAAAUAAGGAAAGAAAGAAAAACUGAGAAUCAAAAUCAUUUGUUAGAGCCCUUGUUAGCAUUGACUGGGUCGUUAACUUUGACACAAGCAGAUGCAGUCUCAAGUCUGCACAAAUGUGAUAUUCCCACUCAAUUAUAUCUUAGUGGGAAACUCAAUAUUCCAGAAGCUAUAUUGUGACUAUAUGGACCUAUACAAAAAUGGCACUUUGUCGAUGAUGAUGAUGACGAUAAAAAUAUGACCAAUGAGACUGCUGGCCUAAUGGAUUUGGUUCUGCAUUCAGUUCAAGCCCUUGAGUCCAUCCAUAUGCUAGAAUGAAUUGAGAUACAAAAGGCAGGUUACGGAAGAAAUGCAAAAGGUUGCUUGGACUAUAUGUGUAGCUGCUACAUUCAUGAUCAUAAUAGAGCCGAGUUUUGGAUUCUUGAAGGGAUUUUGGUUUGGGCAUACGUAUAAAGGAUUGUUUAUUGGAAGGACUGAGAUUAAGAAUAGGAAAGGCCUUACAAUUCUAAUUUUACAUGUACCAAGUCUCACUUGACCCACUCUUAUUUCUAAUUCUAUUUGAAUAAUUGAUUAUGCAGAGAUUUCUAAUUCGUCCCAUCAAACCCAAUGGCAAUCUAAUUGGUAAGCUAGUAAAUGAGGCCAUAAGUGUAUUAAUACUUUUAUCAUUGUAGACUCAGAUUCAAAUAAAGGUAAUUUAAAAUUCAAUGCAAUAUAUAUUUGUCCUUAG